ACCUGGGUGGCUCAGUUGGUUAAGCCUCUGACUUUGGUUCAGGUCAUGAUCUCAUAGUUCGUGGGUUCAAACCCCACGUCAGGCU
rnacentral:tRNA from 1 species